AGAAAUGAUUCUUUACCAUUGGAAGAAAGCAGACCUCCUGUUUUUAUCUACACAAACGUCGCUAAUGAAGGGAGGACAGUUCAGUCAGAUGUUGAACACGAAUAUGCCACGAUCCUUCAGCCUGAAGAAACUGAAGCUUCGAACACCUUUCGGACGAGACAGGUGUCGCUCUAUGCCGCAAUCAAAUAAGCCCUAUGAAUGAACAGCUUUACCAGUCGAGGAUUAGGGUACAGGUUAACUCAAUUGAAAGAUACCAAGACGCAUUACUUUCCAGACAUCGUCGCGAGAAUUCAAGAGACUUCGAAUCAGAACAUUGACAUGGUGUCUUCUGAUUCAUAAUGGGAUAUUCUGCUGUAGGUGGACAGUUAUCAACUGAUCAGCGUUUUUUUUUAUCUGCGGAUAUCAUUCUUACCUGCGCUUGAAAUCAGUUUCUAUCCUACCCUCCUCACCAACCAAACGCUGUUCGUUAGCACAAUUGAUGUGCCUUCUAUACGUUUGUAAUUUCCUUGAGAAAUAUACUAGUGCAUGUUUAUAACAACCAGGUGUAUAAAACCCUGGUGAGGACGUUGAAAUAAUAUGAAUUUGGCGAAACGUAGAUUUUCUCUUUAAUUCUGCAGCUUGUAGUAUUUACAUAGGGAAAAAAUGUAUCAUAACGACAUACGCUUUUAUCAACGUGACUUAACCAAAAUAAAACA